rnacentral:rRNA from 1 species
GACGAACGCUGGCGGCGUGCUUAAUACAUGCAAGUCGAGCGAGGCCUUGGAAUUGGAGUCCUUCGGGAUGAAGAGUCCUUGGCCUAGCGGCGGACGGGUGAGUAACGCGUGGGCAACCUACCCCAAAGUCCGGGAUAACAGUGGGAAACCGCUGCUAAUACCGGAUGGCUUUACCUGAGGGCAUCCUUGGGUAAAGAAAGGUUACGCUUUGGGAUGGGCCCGCGUCCCAUUAGCUAGUUGGUGAGGUAACGGCUCACUAAGGCGACGAUGGGUAGCCGGCCUGAGAGGGUGAACGGCCACACUGGGACUGAGACACGGCCCAGACUCCUACGGGAGGCAGCAGUAGGGAAUAUUGCGCAAUGGGCGGAAGCCUGACGCGGCGACGCCGCGUGAGCGAAGAAGGCCUUCGGGUCGUAAAGCUCUGUCCUUGGGGAAGAAGGCGAAAGCUUGACGGUACCCAAGAAGAAAGCCCCGGCUAACUACGUGCCAGCAGCCGCGGUAAAAGUGUGUUA